UUGUUGGUAAGGUAAAAGCUUACCAAGGCUUCGAUCAGUAGCUGGUCUGAGAGGACGGCCAGCCACACUGGGACUGAGACACGGCCCAGACUCCUACGGGAGGCAGCAGUGGGGAAUUUUGGACAAUGGGGGCAACCCUGAUCCAGCCAUGCCGCGUGAGUGAAGAAGGCCUUCGGGUUGUAAAGCUCUUUCAGCCGGAACGAAACGGUUACGGAUAACACCCGUGACUACUGACGGUACCGGAAGAAGAAGCACCGGCUAACUACGUGCCAGCAGCCGCGGUAAUACGUAGGGUGCGAGCGUUAAUCGGAAUUACUGGGCGUAAAGCGUGCGCAGGUGGUUUUGUAAGUCAGAUGUGAAAGCCCCGGGCUCAACCUGGGAACUGCGUUUGAAACUACAAGACUAGAGUGUGGCAGAGGGGGGUGGAAUUCCGCGUGUAGCAGUGAAAUGCGUAGAGAUGUGGAGGAACACCGAUGGCGAAGGCAGCCCCCUGGGUCAACACUGACGCUCAGGCACGAAAGCAUGGGGAGCAAACAGGAUUAGAUACCCUGGUAGUCCAUGCCCUAAACGAUGUCAACUAGUUGUCGGGCCUUUACGGGCUUGGUAACGUAGCUAACGCGUGAAGUUGACCGCCUGGGGAGUACGAUCGCAAGAUUAAAACUCAAAUGAAUUGACGGGGACCCGCACAAGCGGUGGAUUAUGUGGAUUAAUUCGAUGCAACGCGAAAAACCUUACCUACCCUUGACAUGUAUCGAAGCCCGCAGAAAAGCGGGGGUGCCCGAAAGGGAACGAUAACACAGGUGCUGCAUGGCUGUCGUCAGCUCGUGUCGUGAGAUGUUGGGUUAAGUCCCGCAACGAGCGCAACCCUUGUCAUUAAUUGCCAUCAUUUAGUUGGGCACUUUAAUGAGACUGCCGG
rnacentral:rRNA from 1 species